rnacentral:rRNA from 1 species
GAUGAACGCUGACAGAAUGCUUAACAAAUGCAAGUCAACUGUGGCGGACGGGUGAGUAACGCGUAAAGAACUUGCAUAACAGAUAGGGAAAACAUUUGGAAACGAAUGCUAAUACCUGAUACUGUGAGAGAGCUUUGCGUACCAUUAGCUAGGUGGAGAGGUAACGGCUAACCAAGGCGAUGAUGGGUAGCCGGCCUGAGAGGGUGAUCGGCCACAAGGGGAAUGAGACACUGCCAUUACUCGUACGGGAGGCAGCAGUGGGGAAUAUUGGACAAUGGACCAAAGUCUGAUCCAGCAAUUCUGUGUGCACGAUGAAGUUUUCGGAAUGUAAAGUGCUUUCAGUUGGGAAGCAGUACCAACAGAAGAAGUGACUGCUAACUACGUGCCAGCCGCCGCGGUAAUUC